rnacentral:rRNA from 1 species
AGUGGACGCUGGCGGUAGGCCUAACACAUGCAAGUCGAACGGCAGCACAGUAAGAGCUUGCUCUUACGGGUGGCGAGUGGCGGACGGGUGAGGAAUACAUCGGAAUCUACUUUUUCGUGGGGGAUAACGUAGGGAAACUUACGCUAAUACCGCAUACGACCUACGGGUGAAAGCAGGGGAUCUUCGGACCUUGCGCGAUUGAAUGAGCCGAUGUCGGAUUAGCUAGUUGGCGGGGUAAAGGCCCACCAAGGCGACGAUCCGUAGCUGGUCCGAGAGGAUGAUCAGCCACACUGGAACUGAGACACGGUCCAGACUCCUACGGGGGGCAGCAGUGGGGAAUAUUGGACAAUGGGCGCAAGCCUGAUCCAGCCAUACCGCGUGGGUGAAGAAGGCCUUCGGGUUGUAAAGCCCUUUUGUUGGGAAAGAAAAGCAGCAGGUUAAUACCCCGCUGUUCUGACGGUACCCAAAGAAUAAGCACCGGCUAACUUCGUG